rnacentral:rRNA from 1 species
UACGAAGGGGGCUAGCGUUGCUCGGAAUCACUGGGCGUAAAGCGCACGUAGGCGGCUUCUUAAGUCGGUGGUGAAAUCCUGGAGCUCAACUCCAGUACUGCCUUCGAUACUGGGAAGCUCGAGUCCGGGAGAGGUGAGUGGAACUGCGAGUGUAGAGGUGAAAUUCGUAGAUAUUCGCAAGAACACCAGUGGCGAAGGCGGCUCACUGGCCCGGUACUGACGCUGAGGUGCGAAAGCGUGGGGAGCAAACAGG